rnacentral:rRNA from 1 species
CAGCAGCCGCGGGAAUACGAAGGGUGCAAGCGUUAAUCGGAAUUACUGGGCGUAAAGCGCGCGUAGGUGGUUCAUUAAGUUGGAUGUGAAAGCCCUGGGCUCAACCUGGGAACUGCAUCCAAAACUGGUGAGCUAGAGUACGGUAGAGGGUAGUGGAAUUUCCUGUGUAGCGGUGAAAUGCGUAGAUAUAGGAAGGAACACCAGUGGCGAAGGCGACUACCUGGACUGAUACUGACACUGAGGUGCGAAAGCGUGGGGAGCAAACAGGAUUAGAUACCCGGGUAGUCCCUGUCUCUUAUAC